CAACACCAUUUAAAUCAUAAACUGAACUAAUCAAACUUAAGGUCGGAUACUCCAUGGCAUUGGCAGUCAAAAAGUGAGAUUCUUCAAUGCUCAAAAAAUGGUUCGUUUUGUCAAUCAUUGAGUGAAAUAUACAAGCUAAACAAUACUGCAAGAGUGCAAAACAUACCAGCCGUACUGCAGAAUCUGACCCUGUGUUUUAUUUCUUCAGAAUACAAGGGCAAGGGAAUCUGUUACCUAAUUGUUACCUGGGAGAACCCUGAAAGGAGGACUGGAUCCUAGCUACCUCUCAGUGUGUAUUGGCCUGAGUGUACACUUGGGAUAGUUUACUGAUAAAGGAUAUUAAGAGGUUAUGGCCUAAUGAUACAGUACAAAUAUCAAAUAAAAAAUACGCUUUCGGAGUACAA